rnacentral:sRNA from 1 species
UGCCCUAGUGGCCUAAUACUUUCCUUGCGUCUAGAAAAGGGUCGACAAAUCAAUUCUUAGUCCAGUGAGCCCUGAGCUUAAUUUAACCUCACUGUUUUUUUUCGAUAGCAACAGACAGCACAUCGUCGAGCAAAAGACUGCGUUAAUCAUUAAUAUCGGGGACGCGAAACAGAGGGAAGAACAUGAUAAUGAAAAUAAUAAUAAACGAAAAAUAAAUUAGGGUAGGGAUAGAGAAGAACAUUUACAUAGGAAAUACAAUAUACAACUUGCACUUCAACACCCAGAUCCGUACUGGAAUACAGAAACCAAAUGCAACUCGCUAAAAACAACAAAUUGGUCGCAUUGGAAUACAUUUUGCAGAUUAAUAGAGAAGGACGCCAUGUAGAUGACACUGAACAUGUCAUAAAGGGAAGGAAAACAAACUAAUCAAAGUCGUCCGCUAUUAGGGCCUUCAGUUGGCUCAGCUUGUCCUCGCAAUUGAUAUCCAUUUUCAUCAGAAUAUCCACGC